rnacentral:misc_RNA from 1 species
GAUGAAGAACGUAGCGAAAUGCGAUAAGUAAUGUGAAUUGCAGAAUUCAGUGAAUCAUCGAAUCUUUGAACGCACAUUGCGCCCGCCAGUAUUCUGGCGGGCAUGCCUGUUCGAGCGUCAUUACAACCCUCAGGCCCCCGGGCCUGGCGUUGGGGAUCGGCGGAAGCCCCCUGCGGGCACAACGCCGUCCCCCAAAUACAGUGGCGGUCCCGCCGCAGCUUCCAUUGCGUAGUAGCUAACACCUCGCAACUGGAGAGCGGCGCGGCCACGCCGUAAACCACCCAACUUCUGAAUGUUGACCUCGAAUCAGGUAGGAAUACCCGCUGAACUUAAGCAUAUCAAUAAGCGGAGGA